GUGGAUAGUACAGCUUAGAUCUGUCGGGAAUUAAGUUUUGUGAGCGCCUACAUUGGAUUAGUGGAUUACUGUGGAUUAUUGUGUACUUCAUGUAGGAUAAUAAUGGAUACAAAACUAAUUCUUUACUUGGAUAUCUAUUUAUAAAGAUACUUCGUCUCAUGUAUGAAAUACGUAUGUGUUGGGAUUACUUUAUGUGAUGUUACAUACUAACUAAUAGAGGAUUACCCAUUGGUACGACGCCGGCAGUGCAACAUAUCACAGUCUCUAGAAAGGGAGGGAAGAAACUGGAAUCGACAAACUCCACCGGAACUCUUCCACUUAGAACAUCCGGCGCCUGUGGCGGCACCGGCCCAGGAAACCGGCAAUAUCGUGAUGCAAUCAUAGCCGCUCUCUGCCGGCACUCCGACCCCCUACCCCCUUCCCCCACUUUCCGCCAUCUUGGAGCGGCUUAAAAUUUGGAGACCUUCCAGCCUCAGAGAGAAUUAUUUAGCACCGCGGUCUGGUUUAAGUCAUGGCAGUUUUAGAAUUAUAAAUAGUGCUUUCUGACAUGUGCUAAAUAAAUAGUGCUGUCUCAUUUUGUCAUGUGCUUAAUAAACAGUGCUGUCUCAUUUUUGGCCAAGUGCUUAAUUAAAGCCAAUGCUAAAAC